AGAUAAGAGGAGAGAGAUGUUUGCAACGACACCGUUUUCUUUGUUUUAGUUAUCUGAUUUGAUACGACAAAGGCCGCCGCGUUUUGGUGAUUUUUUUUUUUUUUUUUUCAAAUAUUUUUUUUUUUGGUUUUUUUAG
rnacentral:sRNA from 1 species